rnacentral:lncRNA from 1 species
GAAAGGAGCUCUCUCUGUUUGCUGCUUAGGCCCAGAGAUAUGGUGUUGGUCAUCUGUGGACUGAGUCCUCUAAACCAUGAGCCAAAUCAACUUUUCCUCUUCUAGGUUGUUCUUAUCAGUUCUUUUGGUGAUAGAGAUGCAAAGCUGAAAACAAUGAUAAAGAGAAUAGUCUAAUUGGAAGAUAUAAUAAUUAUAAGUAUUUAUGACCUAAAUAUUGGUGGGCCCAAUUUCAUAAAAUAAACUAAACAAAAUAAAAGUUUUAAUAGACCCCAGUGAAAAGAUAGUAGGGACAUCAGUGCACCACUCUCACUAAUAGACAGAUUAUACAGAUAGAAAAUCAACAAAGACACAUCAUAUUUAAGCUAUACUAUAGAUAAAAUGGACUUAAAGGACAUCUAUAUAAUAUUUAUCUAACAAUGACUGAAUGGAUUUUCUUUUUUAGCCCUUCAUGGAACAUUAUCCAAAAUUAGUCAUAUAGUAUGCCAUAAAGCAAGUUUUAAUAUACAUAAAAAUAGAAAUAAUUCCUUGAAUCUUUUUAUAUCAUAAUGAAAUGGAAUUUGUAAGAGCAAGGAAAAACUAUAGAAACUAUACAAAGAAUACAUGGAUAUUGAACAGUAUACUUUUGAAAAAUGUAUGGGUCAUUGAAGAAGUCAUGGGGGGAAAAACAGGAAAUCCAUGGGAAAGAAGAGAAAAUACAACACACCAGAAUCUGCGGGAUACAGCAAAGGCAGUUCCAAGAUUGAAGCACACAUGAAAAAGAGAGAACAACAAAAAAUUACCCAAAGAAAUUGCAAAAAAGCAACCUGAUGACGCCUCUCAGGGUUUUAGAAAGACAAGAACAAACCAAUCUCAAAGCUCAUAGGAAGAAAGAAAUAAUAAUGUUCAGAGUUGAUAUUAAUGAAAAAAACUAGAGAAAUAAUACAAAGGAUCAAUGAAAAAUGGAAAUGCUGCUUUGAAAAAGUAAGCAAGACUGAUAAACCCUUAGACAAAUUAUCAAAUAAAAGAAUGAGAAGCUUCAAAUUAGCAAAACUAGAGAUGAAAAUGGAAAUAUUACUACAGACAAAACUGAAAUUAUGAAAAUACUUAGGAAUUAUUUGGGAAACUUACAUUUCAACAAAUUGAAAAAUCUAGAAGAAAUGGAUAAAUUUUUACAUACAUUAAACCUACCAAAAUUGAACCAAGAUGAUAUAGAAAAAACCUAACCAGACCAACAACAAGCAAUGCAAUUAAAACAGUUAAAAAAGAAAAAAAAAAAGCCCAGCACCAGACAUAGUCACAGCUAAAUUUUACCAUAUCUAUCUUAAAAGAACAAUCAUCACCAAUACUCCUUAAAUUAUUCCAUCAUUAGAAAGGGUGAAAAUGCUUCUAAACUCAUUCUGCAAAGUUGUUAUCACCCUGAUACUAAAACCAAAUAAAGACACUUAAAGGAAGGAAAGAAAAUUAAGGAACAAUAUCCAUGAUGAACAUAUAUGCAAAAAUUCUUACUAAAAUAUUAGCAAAUAAAAUUCAACAGCACACUAAAACAAUCGUACACCCUGAUCAAGUUAAUCUUGUUUUUUUUAAUGCAAGGAUAGUUGAACAUAAUGCAAACAAAUAAAUGUAAUACAACAUAUAAAUAGACUCAAAGAUAGAAAUCAUAUGAUCAUCUCAAUAAAUACAUAAAAAUUCUCAAAAGUACAACUCCUCUUCAUGAUAAAAGCCCUGAGUAACUAGGAAUAGAAGAAUCUUGCCUC